rnacentral:rRNA from 1 species
UACGGAGGGAGCUAGCGUUGUUCGGAAUUACUGGGCGUAAAGCGCACGUAGGCGGCUUUGUAAGUCAGGUGUGAAAUCCCGGGGCUCAACCCCGGAACUGCCUUUGAACCUGGGAAGCUAGAAUCCUGGAGAGGCGAGUGGAAUUCCGAGUGUAGAGGUGAAAUUCGUAGAUAUUCGGAGGAACACCAGUGGCGAAGGCGACUCGCUGGACAGGUAUUGACGCUGAGGUGCGAAAGCGUGGGGAGCAAACAGG